AUGUUUUACUCAACUUUAGUUGUUAUUUAAUAUAGACAUAUUUCAAGUAAGUUCCUACCUCUAUUUAUUUAGUUUUAUUUUUUGUAUACAAAUAAUUAUAAUUAAAGGAUUAUUAAUAGUCCAUUAUACAUUUUUUAUUUUCUGGAAUGAUCAAUAAUAUUUUUAAAUGGUGUCAUUUCUUAAAGCAUUUAUUAUUUAAUAAUAUAUUGGCAUUUAAACAUUUCCUAAUGUGUUUUAUUUGUUCCUAAUUAAAACUACUAAGGUACCAAAGAAAAUUAACAUAAAUCCAUGAAUCCUUUUAGUGUUCAUUAGGUGUCCUAACAGAUUGAGUUCCUAGGUUUUGUUCUGACAGGUAAACAAUUAUGUCCAGAAAUCGAGAAAAUCAACUAGUGAUUGUACAGAUUUCCAUUAGGUAACAAACAUAUUAUGUUUACUGUAAAAACAAUGCAUUACUCGCUCCACUCAGAAUCUAAAAUAUAAUAGGUACUAAUUUACAAUAAUAAAUUUUAGGGUUUGAACAUAACACAAUCACAAUACAACAUAACACUCUUAAUAAUUUGUUGGUGACCUCUGAUUGAGAAACACUGUUUUACACCAUAAUUUCUU